rnacentral:rRNA from 1 species
GGUUAAGCGACUAAGCGUACACGGUGGAUGCCCUGGCAGUCAGAGGCGAUGAAGGGCGUGCUAAUCUGCGAUAAGCGCCGGUAAGGUGAUAUGAACCGUUAUAACCGGCGAUACCCGAAUGGGGAAACCCAGUGUGACUCGUCACACUAUCAUUAACUGAAUCCAUAGGUUAAUGAGGCGAACCGGGAGAACUGAAACAUCUAAGUACCCCGAGGAAAAGAAAUCAACCGAGAUUCCCCCAGUAGCGGCGAGCGAACGGGGAGGAGCCCAGAGCCUGAAUCAGCAUGUGUGUUAGUGGAAGCGUCUGGAAAGGCGCGCGAUACAGGGUGACAGCCCCGUACACAAAAGCGCAUGUGCUGUGAGCUCGAUGAGUAGGGCGGGACACGUGGUAUCCUGUCUGAAUAUGGGGGGACCAUCCUCCAAGGCUAAAUACUCCUGACUGACCGAUAGUGAACCAGUACCGUGAGGGAAAGGCGAAAAGAACCCCGGCGAGGGGAGUGAAAAAGAACCUGAAACCGUGUACGUACAAGCAGUGGGAGCACAGGUUUACCUGUGUGACUGCGUACCUUUUGUAUAAUGGGUCAGCGACUUAUAUUCUGUAGCAAGGUUAACCGAAUAGGGGAGCCGGAGGGAAACCGAGUCUUAACCGGGCGUUAAGUUGCAGGGUAUAGACCCGAAACCCGGUGAUCUAGCCAUGGGCAGGUUGAAGGUUGGGUAACACUAACUGGAGGACCGAACCGACUAAUGUUGAAAAAUUAGCGGAUGACCUGUGGCUGGGGGUGAAAGGCCAAUCAAACCGGGAGAUAGCUGGUUCUCCCCGAAAGCUAUUUAGGUAGCGCCUCGUGAAUUCAUCUCCGGGGGUAGAGCACUGUUUCGGCUAGGGGGCCAUCCCGGCUUACCAACCCGAUGCAAACUGCGAAUACCGGAGAAUGUUAUCACGGGAGACACACGGCGGGUGCUAACGUCCGUCGUGAAGAGGGAAACAACCCAGACCGCCAGCUAAGGUCCCAAAGUCAUGGUUAAGUGGGAAACGAUGUGGGAAGGCCCAGACAGCCAGGAUGUUGGCUUAGAAGCAGCCAUCAUUUAAAGAAAGCGUAAUAGCUCACUGGUCGAGUCGGCCUGCGCGGAAGAUGUAACGGGGCUAAACCAUGCACCGAAGCUGCGGCAGCGAACGUAUCACCCAAGACAACUUUACGGAGUUGACGAUUGACGGAGCGAAGCGACGUCAAAGCGUUCAUUAAAGUCGAGUUGGCUUAGGGAUACGUUCGUUGGGUAGGGGAGCGUUCUGUAAGCCUGUGAAGGUGGCCUGUGAGGGUUGCUGGAGGUAUCAGAAGUGCGAAUGCUGACAUAAGUAACGAUAAAGCGGGUGAAAAGCCCGCUCGCCGGAAGACCAAGGGUUCCUGUCCAACGUUAAUCGGGGCAGGGUGAGUCGACCCCUAAGGCGAGGCCGAAAGGCGUAGUCGAUGGGAAACAGGUUAAUAUUCCUGUACUUGGUGUUACUGCGAAGGGGGGACGGAGAAGGCUAUGUUGGCCGGGCGACGGUUGUCCCGGUUUAAGCGUGUAGGUGUGUGUUCCAGGUAAAUCCGGUUCACUUUAACACUGAGGCGUGAUGACGAGGCACUACGGUGCUGAAGCAACAAAUGCCCUGCUUCCAGGAAAAGCCUCUAAGCAUCAGGUAACAUCAAAUCGUACCCCAAACCGACACAGGUGGUCAGGUAGAGAAUACCAAGGCGCUUGAGAGAACUCGGGUGAAGGAACUAGGCAAAAUGGUGCCGUAACUUCGGGAGAAGGCACGCUGACACGUAGGUGAAGUGAUUUACUCACGGAGCUGAAGUCAGUCGAAGAUACCAGCUGGCUGCAACUGUUUAUUAAAAACACAGCACUGUGCAAACACGAAAGUGGACGUAUACGGUGUGACGCCUGCCCGGUGCCGGAAGGUUAAUUGAUGGGGUCAGCGCAAGCGAAGCUCCUGAUCGAAGCCCCGGUAAACGGCGGCCGUAACUAUAACGGUCCUAAGGUAGCGAAAUUCCUUGUCGGGUAAGUUCCGACCUGCACGAAUGGCGUAAUGAUGGCCAGGCUGUCUCCACCCGAGACUCAGUGAAAUUGAACUCGCUGUGAAGAUGCAGUGUACCCGCGGCAAGACGGAAAGACCCCGUGAACCUUUACUAUAGCUUGACACUGAACAUUGAGCCUUGAUGUGUAGGAUAGGUGGGAGGCUUUGAAGCGUGGACGCCAGUCUGCGUGGAGCCGACCUUGAAAUACCACCCUUUAAUGUUUGAUGUUCUAACGUGGACCCGUAAUCCGGGUUGCGGACAGUGUCUGGUGGGUAGUUUGACUGGGGCGGUCUCCUCCUAAAGAGUAACGGAGGAGCACGAAGGUUGGCUAAUCCUGGUCGGACAUCAGGAGGUUAGUGCAAUGGCAUAAGCCAGCUUGACUGCGAGCGUGACGGCGCGAGCAGGUGCGAAAGCAGGUCAUAGUGAUCCGGUGGUUCUGAAUGGAAGGGCCAUCGCUCAACGGAUAAAAGGUACUCCGGGGAUAACAGGCUGAUACCGCCCAAGAGUUCAUAUCGACGGCGGUGUUUGGCACCUCGAUGUCGGCUCAUCACAUCCUGGGGCUGAAGUAGGUCCCAAGGGUAUGGCUGUUCGCCAUUUAAAGUGGUACGCGAGCUGGGUUUAGAACGUCGUGAGACAGUUCGGUCCCUAUCUGCCGUGGGCGCUGGAGAACUGAGGGGGGCUGCUCCUAGUACGAGAGGACCGGAGUGGACGCAUCACUGGUGUUCGGGUUGUCAUGCCAAUGGCACUGCCCGGUAGCUAAAUGCGGAAGAGAUAAGUGCUGAAAGCAUCUAAGCACGAAACUUGCCCCGAGAUGAGUUCUCCCUGAGACUUAGAGUCUCCUGAAGGAACGUUGAAGACGACGACGUUGAUAGGCCGGGUGUGUAAGCGCAGCGAUGCGUUGAGCUAACCGGUACUAAUGAACCGUGAGGCUUAACCUU